rnacentral:rRNA from 1 species
GGGGAAUUUUCCGCAAUGGGCGAAAGCCUGACGGAGCAAUACCGCGUGAGGGAGGAAGGCUCUUGGGUUGUAAACCUCUUUUCUCAGGGAAGAAAAAAAUGACGGUACCUGAGGAAUAAGCAUCGGCUAACUCCGUGCCAGCAGCCGCGGUAAUACGGAGGAUGCAAGCGUUAUCCGGAAUGAUUGGGCGUAAAGCGUCCGCAGGUGGCGAUGAAAGUCUGCUGUUAAAGAGUGAGGCUCAACCUCAUAAAAGCAGUGGAAACUACAUAGCUAGAGUACGUUCGGGGCAGAGGGAAUUCCUGGUGUAGCGGUGAAAUGCGUAGAGAUCAGGAAGAACACCGGUGGCGAAAGCGCUCUGCUAGGCCUGUACUGACACUGAGGGACGAAAGCUAGGGGAGCGAAUGGGAUUAGAUACCCCAGUAGUCCUAGCCGUAAACGAUGGAUACUAGGCGUGGCUUGUAUCGACCCGAGCCGUGCCGGAGCUAACGCGUUAAGUAUCCCGCCUGGGGAGUACGCACGCAAGUGUGAAACUCAAAGGAAUUGACGGGGGCCCGCACAAGCGGUGGAGUAUGUGGUUUAAUUCGAUGCAACGCGAAGAACCUUACCAAGACUUGACAUGUCGCGAAUUCCUCUGAAAGGAGGAAGUGCCUUAGGGAGCGCGAACACAGGUGGUGCAUGGCUGUCGUCAGCUCGUGUCGUGAGAUGUUGGGUUAAGUCCCGCAACGAGCGCAACCCUCGUUUUUAGUUGCCAGCAUUAAGUUGGGCACUCUAGAGAGACUGCCGGUGACAAACCGGAGGAAGGUGGGGAUGACGUCAAGUCAGCAUGCCCCUUACGUCUUGGGCUACACACGUACUACAAUGCUACGGACAAAGGGCAGCAAGCUAGUGAUAGCAAGCAAAUCUCAUAAACCGUAGCUCAGUUCAGAUCGCAGGCUGCAACUCGCCUGCGUGAAGUCGGAAUCGCUAGUAAUUGCAGGUCAGCAUACUGCAGUGAAUUCGUUCCCGGGCCUUGUACACACCGCCCGUCACACCAUGGAAGCUGGCAACGCCCGAAGUCAUUACUCCAACCCUUCGGGGAGGAGGAUGCCUAAGGCAGUGCUGGUGACUGGGGUGAAGUCGUAACAAGGUAGCCGUACCGGAAGGUGUGGCUGGAUCACCUCCUU